CCCUACGGGGGGCAGCAGUGAGGAAUAUUGGUCAAUGGGCUUACGCCUGAACCAGCCAAGUCGCGUGAGGGAAGACUGCCCUGUGGGUUGUAAACCUCUUUUGUCAGGGAGCAACGCCGGCUACGUGUAGCCGGACUGAGAGUACCUGAAGAAAAAGCAUCGGCUAACUCCGUGCCAGCAGCCGCGGUAAUACGGAGGAUGCGAGCGUUAUCCGGAUUUAUUGGGUUUAAAGGGUGCGCAGGCGGAGGUGCAAGUCAGCGGUCAAAUUGCGGGGCUCAACCCCGCACUGCCGUUGAAACUGCAUC
rnacentral:rRNA from 1 species